rnacentral:rRNA from 1 species
UACGUAGGGGGCAAGCGUUGUCCGGAAUCAUUGGGCGUAAAGAGCGCGUAGGCGGCCCGGUAAGUCCGCUGUAAAAGUCCAGGGCUCAACCCUGGAAAGCCGGUGGAUACUGUCGGGCUAGAGUCCGGAAGAGGCGAGUGGAAUUCCUGGUGUAGCGGUGGAAUGCGCAGAUAUCAGGAGGAACACCGAUGGCGAAGGCAGCUCGCUGGGACGGUACUGACGCUGAGGCGCGAAAGCGUGGGGAGCGAACAGGG